UGCAAGUCGAGCGGUAACAUUUCUAGCUUGCUAGAAGAUGACGAGCGGCGGACGGGUGAGUAAUGCCUGGGAAAUUGCCUUGAUGUGGGGGAUAACCAUUGGAAACGAUGGCUAAUACCGCAUAAUGCCUUCGGGCCAAAGAGGGGGACCUUCGGGCCUCUCGCGUCAAGAUAUGCCCAGGUGAGAUUAGCUUGUUGGUGAGGUAAGAGCUCACCAAGGCGACGAUCUCUAGCUGGUCUGAGAGGAUGAUCAGCCACAUUGGGACUGAGACACGGCCCAAACUCCUACGGGAGGCAGCAGUGGGGAAUAUUGCACAAUGGGCGCAAGCCUGAUGCAGCCAUGCCGCGUGUAUGAAGAAGGCCUUCGGGUUGUAAAGUACUUUCAGCAGUGAGGAAGGGGUAACGUUGAAUAGACGUUAUUCUUGACGUUAGCUGCAGAAGAAGCACCGGCUAACUCCGUGCCAGCAGCCGCGGUAAUACGGAGGGUGCGAGCGUUAAUCGGAAUUACUGGGCGUAAAGCGCAUGCAGGUGGUCUGUUAAGUCAGAUGUGAAAGCCCGAGGCUUAACCUCGGAAUUGCAUUUGAAACUGGCAGGCUAGAGUACUGUAGAGGGGGGUAGAAUUUCAGGUGUAGCGGUGAAAUGCGUAGAGAUCUGAAGGAAUACCAGUGGCGAAGGCGGCCCCCUGGACAGAUACUGACACUCAGAUGCGAAAGCGUGGGGAGCAAACAGGAUUAGAUACCCUGGUAGUCCACGCCGUAAACGAUGUCUACUUGAAGGUUGUGGCCUUGAGCCGUGGCUUUCGGAGCUAACGCGUUAAGUAGACCGCCUGGGGAGUACGGUCGCAAGAUUAAAACUCAAAUGAAUUGACGGGGGCCCGCACAAGCGGUGGAGCAUGUGGUUUAAUUCGAUGCAACGCGAAGAACCUUACCUACUCUUGACAUCCAGAGAACUUUCCAGAGAUGGAUUGGUGCCUUCGGGAACUCUGAGACAGGUGCUGCAUGGCUGUCGUCAGCUCGUGUUGUGAAAUGUUGGGUUAAGUCCCGUAACGAGCGCAACCCUUAUCCUUG
rnacentral:rRNA from 1 species